rnacentral:rRNA from 1 species
GUAGAUAGGCCAGAGGUGUAAGUGUAGUAAUACAUUAAGCUAACUGGUACUAAUAGAUCGAGGGCUUAAUCAU